GUUCAGUCAUGGUUAUGUAGCUUGCAAAUGAGACCAUUUCUAUUUGGAGGGUAAUUUAUAAGACACUAUAUAUUUCAAAGGAGUGUCACAUUAAUGUAAACAAACUAAAAGAGCUAACUCAAAUGAAUUUUCAACAGUGACUCUAAUAGUGGAAUAUGAAUUGAGUCAUCAAACCAGCUGCAGUCAGCCAAUGCCUAUACAUAGCAGAGAUAGAGGGUACUGCAGCAAUGCAGACGGGACAAGGACCUCCUCCAGUCCCAGGCCUGUGUAGAGCGUGGCAUCUGCAGAUAACAGACUAGUGCGGAGUUUGAGGCAUUCCCAUGUCUUGCGCAGCGGAAGGCACAGGUAAUCAGUCGCCUGCAGCAGGCGAUCACUCAGCAGGGUGGUUGAUGCUGUGGUGGAAAUCUCAUGACCCUUAGUGUAGGUAGGCCACCUGCAUGAGUGGCUUGCGAAGGAGUAGGUGCUUUGCCCAUCUUAAUAUGAUUUACCUUAUUUUAAGACCUGCUAGGGAACAGGCACAUUCAUGACAUAGAACCAUAGAAUUCAGAUGGUGCAUUUUCUUUCCCAUGACUGUUUGAUUUCUAAUACUGGUACUACUGCAUGGUGCCAGUCUGUCAAGUAGUGCCUUAGUGUGUGAAAAGGACUGGCAUCUCUUGAUUGCCAUGGGGGCAAAACAAGAAUUAAGUGUGAACUAGUAGGUGGUGAAGCCUAGUUAUGUUGCAGAUGCAAGUGAACAGAAGACAGUUGAUUAAAAAUUACUUAAUAGCUACAAGCCUUUAUAUUUGAUUUGCUAGAUCCCAUUGUACAGUGCUGUGGAAAUUGUUGGUGCUUUAUAAAUAAGGUAUAUUAGAUUUAUUCCUUGACAGAUCUUUACCUUUAGAUUUUUUUUUUUUUUUUUCUGUAUACAUGGAGGCAGUACAAAACAUUCAGUCUACUUUUCUAAGGACAGGGCGAGCAUUGAAAGCUAAGCUUUUAACCCCUUAAGGACCACACUUCUGGAAUAAAAGGGAAUCAUGACAUGUCACAUGUCGUGUCCUUAAGGGGUUAAAAGUUAAAACCUUCCACCUGUUCCUGUCCUAUCCACUGAGGAUCUAUAUCAUACACCUAUAUUCUGCCUUGCACUAUUUGUAUACCGAAUAUGUCUAGAGUAUGCCAAACUUAUGGCACAUUGUGCAAAAUAAUGAACUAUAAAAUCUGGCACCCUAACUCCCAUGCAUUGUAAGAGGGAAUUUCGCAUUCAAAAUCCUUUUCCACCACGAUAAUAAUCUGGACUCCGACUUGGUUCUGUGCAAUGGUUUCCAACCCUUCUUCACUUGUGUAUCUCGUGGUAGCUCAUUUGCAUAGGUUUGUGUACCCCUUUAUAUUAGUGAAAUGUUUGUAAUUAAAGUAGUUGCCAUUAUUUCAAACUUAUGUUUUUUUUGUGCUGCAGGUGUUUGUGUGUCUGUGUAUAAUACAAUUCAUUUUUAAAAACAUUUUUUACACAUGCAGUGGGAGCCUAUAUAGUGUAG